AGGGUACUGUCUUUGGUACUGUGGAUGUGCCCAUCAACCUCAACCUCCUCUUCUGUCACUUUUAGUAAGAAAGGUUGGAUGCAUGAAAACUAAACUUUCCAGAAUCCUUUGCAGUUUUACAGAGUAUGGAAUUGGUGGACUGCAUGUAUCACUUCAAGCUGCCUGCAAGUUAUUCAAGACCCUACCAAGAGUUGAGAGAGUACUGCUUACAUCUUUGACAACAGAACUCAAUGGUAUGAGCAAUCUGAUUCAGCUGUUCAUGUUUAUUCUUUCAGCUUUAUUGAGGUACAGUUGACAAAAUAGUAAGAUAUUUAAAGUGUACAUCAUGA